GGCGCAUUAGCUAGUUGGUGGGGUAAAGGCUUACCAAGGCAAUGAUGCGUAGCCGAACUGAGAGGUUGAUCGGCCACAUUGGGACUGAGACACGGCCCAAACUCCUACGGGAGGCAGCAGUAGGGAAUCUUCCACAAUGGGCGAGAGCCUGAUGGAGCAACGCCGCGUGGGUGAAGAAGGUCUUCGGAUCGUAAAACCCUGUUGUUAGAGAAGAAAGUGCGUGAGAGUAACUGUUCACGUUUCGACGGUAUCUAACCAGAAAGCCACGGCUAACUACGUGCCAGCAGCCGCGGUAAUACGUAGGUGGCAAGCGUUAUCCGGAUUUAUUGGGCGUAAAGGGAACGCAGGCGGUCUUUUAAGUCUGAUGUGAAAGCCUUCGGCUUAACCGGAGUAGUGCAUUGGAAACUGGGAGACUUGAGUGCAGAAGAGGAGAGUGGAACUCCAUGUGUAGCGGUGAAAUGCGUAGAUAUAUGGAAGAACACCAGUGGCGAAAGCGGCUCUCUGGUCUGUAACUGACGCUGAGGUUCGAAAGCGUGGGUAGCAAACAGGAUUAGAUACCCUGGUAGUCCACGCCGUAAACGAUGAAUGCUAAGUGUUGGAGGGUUUCCGCCCUUCA
rnacentral:rRNA from 1 species